AUCUCCGCUCGCCUCUAUGAGAGAAAACGGCGACCGCUUCGGCGGCGCCGCGCAGCAGAAGCAUGGCGGCGUGCCGGCUCCGUUCGCCGGAGAAGCUUACUGCGGACCAACGCCGUGUGCUUCCUCGUCGAACGGUGGCGACCACGCUGCACGCGCAUGGACCGGAGGAGCACAUCUCGCCGGCGGGCGCCGGCGCAAUCUUUGGUGGUGACGGCGGCGAGCAAACGCACGGAGCGUUGGCUGCGCGCGUCCAUUAGAGAGGCGAUCGGCCAGGCGCAUCAUUCCGGCCGUCGUCCCGAAGGACGACGUCCUUCUUGCCAUGGUACUUGGCGAUAUCUCGAUGCAGCCCCUGUGUAGCCCACGGCUGCACCUUUGUGUCUCCAGUGGCGAGGAGAUGUUGGGGAAGAAGCAGCACGGUGGCGAGGAUGACAGCAGGGUUGCCGCAGGCACAGCUCUGCGGUGGCCGGUGGUGGAGAUGGCCUUCACAUACCUCAGCACAUAUUCAGGAUCGGCAGUUAGGUGGUUUAGAUCGAUAUGUUGUUAUCCAUAAUGAAAACCCCCUUUUCCUUAUAUAUGUGUGUGUGCUGGGUACAUGGAACCAAAACCAAACGUGUGGAUGUGUGGUGUGCUUCCGAUCAUUGCACACCUGGGGUCAAAAGGCUCCCCUUUUC